rnacentral:rRNA from 1 species
GACGAACGCUGGCGGCGUGCUUAACACAUGCAAGUCGAACGGAAAGGCCCUGCUUUUGUGGGGUGCUCGAGUGGCGAACGGGUGAGUAACACGUGAGUAACCUGCCCUUGACUUUGGGAUAACUUCAGGAAACUGGGGCUAAUACCGGAUAGGAGCUCCUGCUGCAUGGUGGGGGUUGGAAAGUUUCGGCGGUUGGGGAUGGACUCGCGGCUUAUCAGCUUGUUGGUGGGGUAGUGGCUUACCAAGGCUUUGACGGGUAGCCGGCCUGAGAGGGUGACCGGCCACAUUGGGACUGAGAUACGGCCCGGACUCCAACGGGAGGCAGCAGUGGGGAGUAUUGCACAAUGGGCGGAAGCCUGAUGCAGCAACGCCGCGGGCGGGAGGACGGCCUUCGGGUUGUAAACCGAUUUCGCCUGUGACGAAGCGUGAGUGACGGUAAUGGGUAAAGAAGCACCGGCUAACUACGUG